GUGAGGAAUUUUCCUCAAUGGGCGAAAGCCUGACGGAGCAAUGCCGCGUGAAGGAUGAAGGCCUAUGGGUUGUAAACUUCUUUUCUCAGAAAAGAAUUAUGACGGUAUCUGAGGAAUAAGCAUCGGCUAACUCUGUGCCAGCAGCCGCGGUAAGACAGAGGAUGCAAGCGUUAUCCGGAAUGAUUGGGCGUAAAGCGUCUGUAGGUUGUUUAAAAAGUAUUCUGUCAAAGAUUAGGGCUUAACCCUAGAUAGGCAGAAUAAACUUUUAAGCUAGAGUUUGGUAGAGGCAGAGGGAAUUCCCGGUGGAGCGGUGAAAUGCGUAGAUAUCGGGAGGAACACCAAAGGCGAAGGCACUCUGCUGGGCCAAUACUAACACUGAGAGACGAAAGCGAGGGGAGCAAAUGGGAUUAGAUACCCGAGUAGUCC
rnacentral:rRNA from 1 species